UUUUGUUUCUGUACAUCUAAAACAUCUAAAAUACUUCAUUUUUGUAGUACUGAAUGACUGCAAUGUAUUUGUAAAUGAGUUCAAUUUUAUCUUUCCUUCUUCAGUGAAUUGGCAAAUGUGUUAUAUGAACUCAAAUAGAGCGUCUCUAUUAAUUUGUUGUUGUUUUGUUUGUUUAUUUUUGUUGCUUCCAAGAUCUUAAGCCUCACUACUAGCCUUGCUCUCUUCCCAUAAGUCUCAUCCAACAGAAAACACCAAGGCAAUUCCUGCCUGUGAUGGAGGACAGUGGCCUUUGAUCUCAGCAUAAGAGCAGGUAUCCAAAACACUAACUUGCCUGGGCAGCACUGAGUGAAGAGGAAUCGCCUUGGACUAAAUGUAAACAUAUAUGGUGUCACUAAUGUGUACACAGUUGGAGGACACGUGUUGCUUGUAAACAUUCAGAAGUGAAAGACUUGAACGUUACAAGUGAUAGGAUGCAAGGAAAUGACCUCAAGUAGUUCCAGGUGAGCCUAAUUUGUCAUGUCGUGGAUAAUUUAUUAAUGGAAGAGGCAAUUAGGCAUUGGAACGGGCUGCCCAGGAAAGUGGUCUCUGGAGGUAUUUAAAAAAUAUGUAGACCUGGUGCUUUAACAGUAGACUUGUAGAGUGGAUGGUCAGAUUUGAUGAUCUUGAAGGUCUUUUCCAAUUGAAAUAAUUGUAUGAUUCUACAAUCCUACAAAGCAAGUAGAAAGUGAGAAAAAUGUUUGUGAGAUGGUCUUUAUUACCUCAUCAGGACUCGGAUUAUUUUUAGGGAAGGGCAAUAACAACUGGUGCAGUCAAAAGCUAGCCCUGUAUAUACUGGGAGUAUUGCCAUUGCAUUCUUUGCCUCUUUCGGUGAAAUCUUACUUCUCCAAGUAGCGAUAAGUUUUGUAUUUUCUUCUUCUGCCACUGCCAUACAAAGCAAGAAUGUAAGACAUACUUGUGUAGUGAUCCAACUACAAAUACCUCAAAAGAGCUUUAACUGUUUCCUCCUAGUCCUGCAGGCAAAAGAGUUUUCAGAUAGCUCGGCUUGCCACUCUGGUCUCAGUGUUCUCCAUUGUUGGCUCAGUGGAGGGCCUGAGAGGAGAGGGUGAGACUCAUUUCCACUUCAAUGCCACCUUAAAUGAUUGAAUUGUCUAUGAAGCAGCAGUUUUAUUUAAUUAGGGCUUUGGACAGGGAGCCACGCAAUUAAAAUUGUCAUACUUGCUUUCAAAAUUUCCAUGCAAGCAGGUGCAGACUACUUUCAUACAGUUCAGCCUCCAUGGCUCCUUGACCUGGGAGUGCAGAAGAAUGAAAUGCAGAGGGCAGAACUCCUUUUCUCACACACAGCCUUGUGCAAACAUCGUAGCUUGACUGCUUCCAGAUUCAGAAUGGCACAAGUGUUGUACUCUGUAGCAUUUUCAAUUACUCUCCACUGCUAGGUGCUCUGCACAAAAAAAAAAAAUAAAAAGGAUUUUGUUUUUUUCCCCACAUCGAAGAAGGAAAGAGUUUCUCAGAGCUGCUUACAGAGGGAGGCCGUGCCCAGACGUAACCACUGAGGCUGUCCUUUCAGAGGAAUAACAUACUUUCUGUUCUCACUUUUUCCCCUGUUCUUAAGACCACUGAGUAUCAUGAUAACCCGCUUGGAAAGGACUGGAAUAAGUGCUUGGGAGGGUGACAAAUACCAGCUCAAACUUUGCUUUUUAUUUUCUGUAUAGUUUUUAAACAGAUAGAGGCUAAAAAUCUAGCAAAUCAAAUAUUUCUACCACCAGUGGUCCUAAAUUGCAUGCAAAGCACUGUGGGCUGGUGGCCAGAACAAUAACGAAGCUGCCCUGAAAGUAUUUAUCUUAGGCAAUACUUUUUACUUCAUUGCUAUCUGAAAAUUUCAGUGUGAAUUAAACCUCACAGGUAAGGCUAUCUCUCUUUUCCAGCUGCAGAAAUCAAAAACCAGAAAGGUUACAAAUAGAAUUUGUGUUUGGAGUACCAUCCAAGCCCUGGGACUCACAGAAGACAAGAGGGCUAUUCACAAAGCAUGGCACUGCAUAAAGUGAAUCUGGCCUUGUGACUUACCUGUCCACAUGG